GCCGGGCAUGGUGGUGCGCGUCUGUAGUCCCAGCUACUCGGGAGGCCGAGGCAGGAGAAUUGCUUGAACCCAGGAGGUGGAGGUUGCAGUGAGCCGAGAUCGUGCCACUGCACUCCAGCCUGGGUGACAGAGCGAGACUCUGCCUCAA
ensembl:misc_RNA Metazoa_SRP Metazoan signal recognition particle RNA